rnacentral:rRNA from 1 species
UACGUAGGUGGCAAGCGUUAUCCGGAAUUAUUGGGCGUAAAGCGCGCGCAGGCGGUUUCUUAAGUCUGAUGUGAAAGCCCACGGCUCAACCGUGGAGGGUCAUUGGAAACUGGGGAACUUGAGUGCAGAAGAGAAAAGCGGAAUUCCACGUGUAGCGGUGAAAUGCGUAGAGAUGUGGAGGAACACCAGUGGCGAAGGCGGCUUUCUGGUCUGUAACUGACGCUGAGGCGCGAAAGCGUGGGGAGCAAACAGG